GCAUAUUGUCCCCUAGGGAGGAACUUCCCUUGCCAGUCUGAGAUAAAAGAUCAACUCUCCACUUGUCUUUACUGACCAGGACUCAUCUCUUUCACUUGUCAGAAUGAGGUUCCCUGCUCAGCUCCUGGGGCUCCUCAUGCUCUGGUUUCCAGGAUCCACUGGGGAUGUUGUGAUGACGCAGACCCCAGUGUCCCUGCCCGUCACCCCUGGAGAGCCGGCCUCCAUCUCCUGCAAGGCCAGUCAGAGCCUCCUGCACAGUAAUGGAUAUAAUUACUUGUAUUGGUUCCGGCAGAAACCGGGCCAUUCUCCACAGCCCCUGAUCUAUGCAGCUUCUAACCGUUUCACUGGGGUCCCAGACAGGUUCAGUGGCAGCGGGUCAGGGACAGAUUUCACCCUCAAAAUCAGCAGGGUGGAGGCUGACGAUGUGGGAGUGUAUUACUGUGGGCAAAAUUUUCUGGCUCCUCUCACAGUGGUUAAGGCCCGAACACAAACCUCCCCGCCUGGGGGUCCAGCUGCCCCAGUGCAGAGCUUCUCUGGGGACUCACAGGACACUCUCUGAGUCUGUGUCAGAGGAAGGAGCUGGAGGACCCGGGGGAGCAGCUUGCAGCUGGGCAUCAGGCUGCACGCGUUAAGGCCCCGCCAGCUGCCCAGCCUGGCAUGGCAGACGCAGCAGGGGAGCGUAGGGAGUCCUGUCCCAUGAGGAACCGGUUAUGGUGAAGGGAAGAGCUCCUGACGGC